UACGAAGGGGGGCUAGCGUUGUUCGGAAUUACUGGGCGUAAAGCGCACGUAGGCGGGUUGUUAAGUCAGGGGUGAAAUCCCGGAGCUCAACUCCGGAACUGCCUUUGAUACUGGCAAUCUAGAGACUGGAAGAGGUUAGUGGAAUUCCCAGUGUAGAGGUGAAAUUCGUAGAUAUUGGGAAGAACACCAGUGGCGAAGGCGGCUAACUGGUCCAGUACUGACGCUGAGGUGCGAAAGCGCGGGGAGCAAACAGG
rnacentral:rRNA from 1 species